GAUGAACGCUAGCGGCAGGCUUAAUACAUGUAAGUCGAGGGGCAGCACAGAUAGCAAUAUUGGGUGGCGACCGGCAAACGGGUGCGGAACACGUACACAACCUUCCUUUUAGUGUGGGAUAGCCCAGAGAAAUUUGGAUUAAUACCACAUAGUAUAUUGGAGUGGCAUCACUUUGAUAUUAAAGAUUUAUCGCUAAAAGAUGGGUGUGCGUAUGAUUAGGUAGUUGGUAGAGGUAACGGCUCACCAAGCCUUCGAUCAUUAACUGGUGUGGAGGCACGACCAGUCAAACGGGCACUGAGACACGGGCCCGACUCCUACGGGAGGCAGCAGUAAGGAAUAUUGGUCAAUGGACGGAAGUCUGAACCAGCCAUGCCGCGUGAGGGAUGACGGCCCUCUGGGUUGUAAACUUCUUUUAUGUGGGACGAAAAAGGGCCAUUUUUGGUCAACUGACGGUACCAUAGGAAUAAGCACCGGCUAACUCCGUGCCAGCAGCCGCAGUAA
rnacentral:rRNA from 1 species